GAAAUGCGAUAAGUAAUGUGAAUUGCAGAAUUCAGUGAAUCAUCGAAUCUUUGAACGCACAUUGCGCCCGCCAGAAUUCUGGCGGGCAUGCCUGUUCGAGCGUCAUUUCAACCCUCGAGCUCCCCUUUCGGGGGGAGCCCGGCGUUGGGGACCCGGCGCUAACAACGCCGGCCCCGAAAUGGAGUGGCGGCCCGUCCGCGGCGACCUCUGCGUAGUAACAACCACUCGCACCGGGACCCGGGCGCGGCCACGCCGUAAAACACCCCACCUUCCGAAUGUUGACCUCGACUCAGGUAGGAAUACCCGCUGAACUUAAGC
rnacentral:misc_RNA from 1 species